UCUUCUGCGAGAGGGAGGGAGGACGUGCACACAAACACCACUGGCUCACAGUUCAGAGAGCAUUCAAACCUCAGCGCUCGAUGCUGGAUGUUUUAUCAUCGGUUCGCUUCCUCUGUGUGAAUUUGAGUGCUGAUAUGUGUUAUCCUGUCCUUCCACAUGUGCUUUAUAUGUUGGAUUCUCAGUCUAGCCCUGGGCCCCUGGCGGCGCUGCCCAAAGAGUCCAAAUCUCUGCCACAACAACACGACCAGGACGACAACUCCCUCUGUUGUGUUUGCUCAGCUGGUCCGGCUUUGUCAGGAACAUCUCCCAUGUACCCUGUUUGUUCACUUGGACAAUGACAGGGUCACGGGGUCGCUGAUAACAGACGGCUACCUGUAACCUAUGAAGUUGAGGCAACCAAGGCUCCACAAUAAGGACUGCCUUAUGGUCCGGGGCCAGCGUGAAAGAUGAUGGAUGUUGACGGAACUGUCACUGUCCCAAUCGGGCCAGUUCUGUGCUGUCACGAAAUGUUAUCAUUUGCAUGUGUUUUCAAGUCUCGCCAAUUCAAACAUUCAACUGUCUGAGACAGUUUUGUGAGCACACACACAAACAUGCUCGCACAGAAAGCUGCCUCUCAGACAGCGUGCAAAUACCAAAUUGAGACCUCUUUCGAGUCUUCUUCUUGUGCUUCAAGGGACCAAAAUAUGUCAAAAUGCCUGUCUUGGAGAGUAUUCUAGUAAACCUAUGUCUUAAGACAACUUAAACAGUUUCAGAAUCACAAUACUGAAUCUGCGCUUUGUCUUAAAGUGACAGCAGUCUAAUAAACCUGCUGCUGUCUGUGUUUUUAAUGUUUAUCAAACAACAAAGGAAAAAGAAAUAAAUCACUCACUGCUCUCGACUGAAUAACUUUUGUAACUUUAAUAAGGAUUAAUCUAUGUUUAAUUUAUACAGUGAAGACUAUGCAUUAUUUUAUUUUGUGAAAAUUUUAGCAGGGUGAGUAAAAACGUAGAUCCAUUACGCCAACCGAGCCAAUAGAAAUAAUCCUUAGUGUUGAGCCCUGUCAACUUUAGCAUAUAUUAGCCAAUGUAAUUUACAGUAGCACAGAUUAAAAACUCAUGGCAUUGAGUUUAAGUGAGUGCUAUAUCACUGACCUGAGAAGAUGCGCAGACGGUUGCGUCUCGGGGCCCGGUUGCGUCUCGGUGGCCCGAGUCCUGAAACGCCAGUACACUCAUCUUCAUCAUCGCAGUCCCCGCUUUCUAGACCCUCCUCAUCCUCGUCUGCCUGGCCCUGUCCGGCUGGGUCUCUUCUCGCAGCGCCCCCUC